AUUGAACGCUGGCGGUAGGCUUAACACAUGCAAGUCGAGCGGUAACAGGAGUAGCUUGCUACUCGCUGACGAGCGGCGGACGGGUGAGUAACGCGUAGGAAUCUACCUGAUAGUUGGGGAUAGCCCAGGGAAACUUGGAUUAAUACCGAAUACGCUCUACGGAGGAAAGGAGGGGAUCUUUUGACCUUUCGCUAUCAGAUGAGCCUGCGUGAGAUUAGCUAGUUGGUGAGGUAAUGGCUCACCAAGGCGACGAUCUCUAGCUGGUCUGAGAGGAUGAUCAGCCACACUGGAACUGAGACACGGUCCAG
rnacentral:rRNA from 1 species